ensembl:lncRNA
AUGGAGCGAGUUAUUAAGGUAUUGCUUCAGCUCUGUAAGGACUAUUACGGGAAGGCUUCCCCGUCUCGGGAGGAAAUAGCAGCCGUGCUAACGCGGCUGGAGCAGGAGGGCUCCUUACCUCAUCCCGAGGCCGUGUUAGAUCCCGAGAUGUGGGAUUCCCUCACAGUGGCUCUCGCCACCUACACGGCUCGCAGGCUGCUCGGGUUGCAAGGGGACCCGGGACGGGGUUCGGACCUGGGGGGCCGAGAUGGGGCUGGGGAGCCGGGGGGUUGUGCUUUGUUGGCAGACUGCCCGGGAAAACCGACCGCAAGCGUACCGGUUAGCGGCGAGAACAAAGAGAAUCAACCGUCCCUACAACCAGCGUUGCGGAACGAACUUCCAACGGUGCCGGACGCUCCGCCUCCGUAUCCGCAGCGACCAUUGGCACCGUUGAGGACGCGCCUGGUGGGGGUGCCUAUAUGGGAUGACACAGAGUUUCGGGGAUGUAAGAACCCUAGCGCGAAUGAGGAGUGCAAAAAGUGGUGUGAACCGAAGAGCGCAAACUAUACGGUCGUUAAGCUGGGAAAUGACACGGUCAUUGAUUUCGGCUCUCAGGUGGUCCCUAACGAGACAUGGGCAAAUCGUUGAAAUCGUCGGGAGAGUUAUGGAUGCGUCGGGUUUGCAAGAGAUAAAGAUAACGGGUCGUUACGGCGGGGUUUAGACGUACCGUCACCGGUAGGCCCAUACUGGGAUGCAGAGCAGAAUCGAUCUGAGCCUUUCAUCCUUGUCAAUCCCAGUGACACGGAGGCGUUCACAUGGAGUGGGGUGUAUUAGUGGCUUCACUGCGAAUGAAUGAAGGGCGACGAGAAACGAAUCUUAUUGUCGAGGGGAACCUGUGUGUCCUCAAAGAACGGGACGCAAAAACGUCCUACGACGCGACCCGAUGAUCCAGCAUCCAGCAGAAUGAGCGUGAAAAGGAGAAGGACGCAGAUCUGCAAGUUUUUGUACUUUUGCCGUCGCCCUUCCUCCCAAAGAGGUUUCGUCCUCUUGGCUUGUUUAAUUGGGGCGCAAGUUUCACAGUCGUGAAUAACCUGUGCAAUAGCGUCCAUUGUUAAGUCCACCCCUCGGUCCCUAGCCCACUUGUCGUCGGUAGUAGGGUAAGGCCUACCUUGAUUUUGGGACUCGUUUCAAAAAUCCUCUUGUAAAUACUUGGGCCAAAGAUCAUGGGCUGGCCCGAAGGUAAAAAAAGUUUGGAACGUCACCAGCAGAGGAGGCAUCACGUGCCAAAGAGGCCCCACCGUACAGUGAAUUACCAGAAAAUGAAAAGAAAUACGCCCUGUUCCCAGAUGGAUCACGUCGGAUCGUAGGGCGUCGGAUUGUGGGUGUUGCCUCGGGUCGACGGCUCGAGGUUUAGGUUCGGAAAGGAACGUCUGGAAUGAUGACACCGCAAAGGCGUUACCAGCGGGUAUAUCCCUGCUCUGCGGCGAUGGCGCAUGGCAAGGCAUUCCUAGAAACGCGGUUGGGAGGACCUCGCUACUCGGGCAAGCUGACGAUGUUGGCCUGAAGCCACGCAGCUUGGAUGCGACCGUCAAGGAACUCUACGAUGGGAAGUCACGGAGCGUCACGGCGCGUCGUUUCGCUUCGGUCC